rnacentral:rRNA from 1 species
CCUACGGGUGGCAGCAGUGGGGAAUAUUUGACAAUGGGGGGAACCCUGAUCCAGCGACGCCGCGUGAGUGAAGAAGUAUUUCGGUAUGUAAAGCUCUAUCAGCAGGGAAGAAAAUGACGGUACCUGACUAAGAAGCCCCGGCUAACUACGUGCCAGCAGCCGCGGUAAUACGUAGGGGGCAAGCGUUAUCCGGAUUUUCUGGGUGUAAAGGGAGCGUAGACGGUGCAGCAAGUCUGAUGUGAAAGGUCGGGGCCGAAACCCGGGAGUGCAUUGGACACUGUUGAACUGGAGUACAGGAGAGGUAGGCGGAAUGCCUGGUGUAGCGGUGAAAUGCGUAGAUAUUAGGAAGAACACCGGUGGCGAAGGCAGAUUACUGGACUGUAACUGACGUUGAGGCUCGAAAGCGUGGGGAGCAAACAGGAUUAGAUACCCUUGUAGUC